ACUGGCGUAGUUUAACGGUAAAACGAGUGACUUAUAAUCGCUUGAUGCUGGGUUCAACUCCCGCCGCCAGAACCA
rnacentral:tRNA from 1 species